AAAGCUUUCUAAGAAAAAAUCUCUCUUAUCCGAUGUGCUUUUGUUGUUCAGAGGGCAUAACAGAGUAGUCCUUCCCAUAUGUGAAUCAUUGCAACAUAUCUAAUGCUAUAAGUAUAUCUAAAUUUACAGAAGCAUCUCUUUCUCAUAUCUUGUCUACCUAGCCUACCAACUGAGCUGGAUCAGUUGCGAAAACAGGCAAUUACUCAAUUGUUAUUCUUUGAAAAUUUUAUCUUUUUU
rnacentral:misc_RNA from 1 species